UACGUAGGGCGCAAGCGUUAUCCGGAAUUAUUGGGCGUAAAGAGCUCGUAGGCGGUUUGUCGCGUCUGCCGUGAAAGUCCGGGGCUCAACUCCGGAUCUGCGGUGGGUACGGGCAGACUAGAGUGAUGUAGGGGAGACUGGAAUUCCUGGUGUAGCGGUGAAAUGCGCAGAUAUCAGGAGGAACACCGAUGGCGAAGGCAGGUCUCUGGGCAUUAACUGACGCUGAACUGCGAAAGCCAGGGGAGCGAACGGG
rnacentral:rRNA from 1 species